CCUACGGGAGGCAGCAGUGAGGAAUAUUGGUCAAUGGUCGUAAGCCUGAACCAGCCAAGUCGCGUGAGGGAUGACGGUUCUAUGGGUCGUAAACCUCUUUUAUACGGGAAUAAAGUGUGGCACGUGUCCUAUUUUGUAUGUACCUUAUGAAUAAGGAUCGGCUAACUCCGUGCCAGCAGCCGCGGUAAUACGGAGGAUCCGGGCGUUAUCCGGAUUUAUUGGGUUUAAAGGGUGCGUAGGCGGCAGUUUAAGUCAGCGGUGAAAUGCUGUGGCUCAACCAUGGCAUUGCGGUUGAAACUGGGUGGCUUGAGUAUGCUAGAGGUAGGCGGAAUGCGUGGUGUAGCGGUGAAAUGCUUAGAUAUCACGAAGAACCCCGAUUGCGAAGGCAGCAUACCGAGGCACGACUGACGCUGAUGCACGAAAGCGUGGGGAUCGAACAGGAUUAGAUACCCUAGUAGUC
rnacentral:rRNA from 1 species